UGGGGGAUAACGUUCGGAAACGGACGCUAAUACCGCAUACGUCCUACGGGAGAAAGCGGGGGAUCUUAGGACCUCGCGCCAUUAGAUGAGCCUAGGUCGGAUUAGCUAGUUGGUGAGGUAAUGGCUCACCAAGGCGACGAUCCGUAACUGGUCUGAGAGGAUGAUCAGUCACACUGGAACUGAGACACGGUCCAGACUCCUACGGGAGGCAGCAGUGGGGAAUAUUGGACAAUGGGCGAAAGCCUGAUCCAGCCAUGCCGCGUGUGUGAAGAAGGUCUUCGGAUUGUAAAGCACUUUAAGUUGGGAGGAAGGGCAGUAACCUAAUACGUUAUUGUUUUGACGUUACCGACAGAAUAAGCACCGGCUAACUUCGUG
rnacentral:rRNA from 1 species